GACACGGGCAGCAUUCUGGGGGCAGCACUGCCCGCUCCCAGAAUGCCAGAAUAAGCUGGGACCUCUGAAGGUCACACAGUCCAACCCCCUGACCAGGCAGCGCCACCUGGAGCAGGUGACAUGAGUGGGUUGGAAUGUCCAGAGGGACACCUCAGACCCUUCCUGGUCACCUGUCCCGGCCACCCUCCAUGGACAGCUCUCCCUCCUGCCGAGGUGGGACUCGUGGUUAAUUUCUGGCCACUGCUCCUCGUCCGGGCACCGCUGAGCAGAGUCUGACACCUCCUGGAGUGACAGAUUCCCAUGGAUAUUUCCAAGGAAAUGUGGGAUAUUUCCACUCUCAGCCUUCCCUCCUCCAGUCUCACCAGGCCCAGCUCCCUCUCUCUCCUCACCCGACUUAUUCCAGACCCCAAAUCAUUUUUAUGCCCUCCCUCGGGCCCUUUCCAGCAGCUCCUUGUCUUUCCUGAGCUGUGGACACCGGGAUUUUAUGUCCCCCCUUGUCCCUGGAGCCGCGGUUCCCCUAAGGGGACAUUCCCUGUCCGUGUCCCCUCCUGUCCCCGGAGCCGCUAGAGGGAAGCAGCGCUCUCCCUUUGGCUCCGGGAAUCCCGAAAAACGGGGGAAAAAGGGAAAAAACCCCACCCGGGUUCCGCUGCCAGGUGACCCCUUUGGACGCGGGAUCCAACAGGGAAAAUCCCAUUAAAUCUGGGAUUUAUGGAUCGGGA